rnacentral:misc_RNA from 2 species
AGCAGCCGCGGUAAUUCCAGCUCCAAUAGCGUAUAUUAAAGUUGUUGCAGUUAAAAAGCUCGUAGUUGAAUUUCGGGAUCAAUUUGCUGGUCGUGCCUCUGGUACGUACUGGUAUUAUUGGUUUCUCCCUUCUGACGAACCAUGAUGUCAUUAAUUUGAUGUCGUGGAGAAUCAGGACUGUUACUUUGAAAAAAUUAGAGUGUUUAAAGCAGGCAUUAGCUUGAAUACAUUAGCAUGGAAUAAUGAAAUAGGACGUUUGAUCCUAUUUUUGUUGGUUUCUAGGAUUGACGUAAUGAUUAAUAGGGAUAGUUGGGGGCAUUAGUAUUCAAUUGUCAGAGGUGAAAUUCUUGGAUUUAUUGAAGACUAACUACUGCGAAAGCAUUUGCCAAGGAUGUUUUCAUUAAUCAAGAACGAAAGUUAGGGGAUCGAAGACGAUCAGAUACCGUCGUAGUCUUAACCAUAAACUAUGCCGACUAGGGAUCGGAUGAUGUUAAUUUUUUAAUGACUCAUUCGGCGCCUU